UUUUAACUGCUCCGGUGUGGGUGUUUGCUCAGUGUGCUACCUUGUCUCCCGCGGGGCUGGCGUCCGUGUGUGUGUCGGCGUUCCAUGUGCUUUGAACCGUGUGGCGGUUGGCGUUGCUGAUUUCGCCAGGUCUUCUCCUCUCCGAAAAUUUGAGGCUGUCGGCUGGCUGCGGCUGUGUGGGACUGGAGGUCGUCUACGCUGUUGUUCGCUCUCUCCAGCAGCGUUAACUGCGGCCUGCUGCUCUCCCUCUCCUCCCCGGCGGAGACGCUGUGCCUGUGCUCUGUGCUCUGUGGUAGGUGGCCUGUAGCCAGGUUACGCCUGGUCAUUCACAUGGUAACCCACAUAAUUGUAAAUGCUAUUUUGUGUGCGCACUUCGUAGGCACGUUUUGGCCUGGCUGUGCGCUGCGGUGCUCCACUCUCCGGCGGUCAACGCUCUGGUGCACCGGGACUCUACUGCUGUCUUGUUUGGGCUUGUCUUGUAUUGCUGUGUAUGUUGCCUUGUCAAUUAGUUCUUCUAUUGUCUUGCAUGCCGCAUGUUUUGCACAGCCGCAUUUAUAUUGUUGGCUCCCACUGUGGCCGCAAUUACGCCACUGUUUGUUUUACCCUGUUUGUUAUCGCCAGUGACUACUAUAAGUGUCGUGCUGUGAUUGGCUGAUCUCCCGCACCAUUGUACGCGGGGACGAACUGCAAUUGGCCCACUUUUGGGUCAGUCCCAGUAAACCCUGAUUUAUUUUAUUUAUUUACUUGGUGUUGUAUAUUAUGAAUAUUGUGUUUUGAGUUUAUUAUAAUUUGCUCUGCUUUAUUUUUGUUUUCUUUCUUAAUGUUUUUUGUGUGCUUAUGUUUGGUUUGUGUGAGGUUUAAGUGUGUUUAAUUCAUUGUUUAUUCCUUUGGUUGUUUUGAGUUUUUUCUUUAUUGUAAUUGUUUUGAUUUCCUACGCAUACUGGUACUGGUGACCCUAAGUGAGAUUGUUGUAGUGGCCGUGUUACAGUAUUUGAAAAGACCUGUCACUGUUUGUAUUCUACCUUGUUAAUAUUGUGAAAAUAAAUCUAUUUUUAUAUUGAGUUCACGUCUGGUCUGGGUGCAUUACGAACCUGAAUUAAGUUCCUGGGGGUGAAAUUCCCCCAGGUGGCGUUGUCGAGCACCUUUAAA